rnacentral:lncRNA from 1 species
CUAGCCUAAGUUCAGGGAGUGUUUGCUGAACAUCAGGACCUCAUGCCCUGUGCUAUGGGAAGAACUAGGAGGUGAUCUGCUGUCAAGGAAUUUCAUUUCUCUAUUAGAUAGGCUCUAAAAGAAACGGACAAUAUCAGAAAAGACAGAUUUCAUUUCUUUUAAUCACUUUAGACUUCCUAAUUAUCAUGGGGCUCUAUUUCUGUCUUGUACAUGGUAAGAAUAUGUAUUGCGUGAACAACCUGAAAGUCAAUAUAAAGCUUUUUAUUUGUGGCUUCAUAAUAUUAAAAAAAAAAAAAAGUGGCUUGAAGAGCAAAUUAUAAAUGUCGUGAGAGACUAGAACAGGAAUGGAAAUCGCAACAUAGUGCAGUGAUAACCCAUACUUUCAGUCUAAACUUUUUUUUUUUUUUUUAAUGUGGCUAACUUGUGUUUUCUUCCUUACCAGGACAGUGGAGCAUUGUUUUCACAUGUGUGAUAGAAUGGUUAUUUAUUUCUUCAUUGCAGCAUCUUAUGCUCCAUGGUAAGAUAAAACUAUUCUUGAAGGCAAUAUUUUUAUGAUUAGAAUUCCUCAUUUCUCCUUUCUUCUAUUCCUCCUCUCCCUGCCCCCGGCUCUCAUGCAUACAUUCCAUUUCCCCCUGAAGGGACAUAAAUAUAUGCAUUUUUUCCUAUUUGAUUACUUGCAUCAGAUUGUAGUUUUAAAAUGAGAAAUAUUGCUGUUUAGAAUGAAUAUCUGAGAAUUGAAUUGUCUAAGAGGAUGUGAAUGCUAUGAACUUAAUUGUAGGUAGCAUGUUCAUUUUUAAACAUAUAAACUUUGCCCUCUAUAUUCUUUCCAUAUACCUCUGCUGCUUUUCAGAACUUGAAUUGUUCAAGUAAACAGUGCUGUAAAUACAUAUGAGAAAAG